rnacentral:other from 1 species
CAGGUGCUGCGUAGUGCGAGAGACAAUAAAUCCCUUGGGCCAAUAUAUUCUUCUAGGGAGCUGUUCCUUUCGGGGUCUUGGUCUCGAAAUACGGCGCCCACCUGCUUAUGCGGGCCUUAGAGGAUGAAAUCGUUAACCGGCUAAUGCGGCACCACC